rnacentral:lncRNA from 1 species
GGUCUCUUUUCUGCAGGGAUUUAUACAUUGCUUUCAACCUCCUGACACGAAUGCUUAUUUGCCAGUUGGGGAAAACAUGGCAUAUUUUUAAGGGUUUGCUAUAGAUCAAUUAAAAGACAAAAGCCUUGGCAUUUAAGUAGGUACUUUUUUUUCUCAGGGUGGUGCUGCUGAUACUGGUUCCUACCAUCUGUUUUCUUUUUGCAUCCUGCUCCUUCAGUUUAGAGACAGCUCCAGCUUUUCAGAGACAGUUAUCAUGGGGUCUACUGCUACGGAAAUCGAGGAGCUGGAAAACACUUCUUUUAAAUACCUUAUAGGAGAACAGACUGAAAAAAUGUGGCAACAGCUGAAAGGAAUAUCCUAACGCUGCAAUUUUGGUAGCUAUCACUGGCUCUGUAUAAAUGCCAAAGAAAAGAUUUUCCAUCAGAGGCAGAAUUAUGAGAGUAUGCUUUUCCAGUUAAUUAUAUGUUUCCUAUAAAAAACAUACUAAAAAUAGCAAUACAUAAUAUUAAUUUUGAACAAAUUAUAAACAAAACACUUCACAAUUUGGAAUAAGAUUUAAAGAAAUACAAAUUUCUAGAAACCUAUAAUAUCACACAAUCACUACUUAAUUUAACCCCAAUUUAAAAUCCUACUAAAACCCCACAUUCUGUAAGAAUACUAGUUCAUUUUAAUGUACUUUUCUUUUGAGAUUAUCACUAAUUUAUUCUCUAUCUUAUUUAUACAUAGUUGUUUGUGUGUUUUCUCUCCACAUUAGGAGGUGAACACUUUGAGAGCAGAUUUUUUUUUCCCCUUUCUUUGUGUCCUCACUGUUUAGCACAAUGCUUUGCACAUAGUAGGCACUUAAUUGGUUGUUGAUUUGGAAGUUUAAUCUCCCAAAUUUAAUCAAAAUGUAAUCUUCAUCUCAAUAAAAAGCUUUUCUUAAAUUCAAAAGCCUCUUAGGACUCAUAUACAUGUGUAUUACUUCAUAACAACAUAGCAUUAAAAGCCCUCAAAGCCUUCAAAGAUAAUUUUUUUUUCCUUUUCAAACUCUCACUGUGCUAAUACUUCAAAAUAUUAUAUAACUUCUAAAAAAUGGCUAUGUUUGUCUUUUCAAAUUAUUUGCUUUGUCAUAUGUUAAAAAAAGAAUGUCUUAAACACACA